GACGAACGCUGGCGGCGCGCUUAACACAUGCAAGUCGAACGGUAAGGCUCCAGCUUGCUGGGGUACACGAGUGGCGAACGGGUGAGUAACACGUGGGUGACCUGCCCUGCACUUCGGGAUAAGCCUGGGAAACUGGGUCUAAUACCGGAUAGGACCGCACCGUGAGGGUGUGGUGGAAAGUUUUUUCGGUGUGGGAUGGGCCCGCGGCCUAUCAGCUUGUUGGUGGGGUAAUGGCCUACCAAGGCGGCGACGGGUAGCCGGCCUGAGAGGGUGGACGGCCACAUUGGGACUGAGACACGGCCCAGACUCCUACGGGAGGCAGCAGUGGGGAAUAUUGCACAAUGGGCGGAAGCCUGAUGCAGCGACGCCGCGUGGGGGAUGACGGCCUUCGGGUUGUAAACUCCUUUCACCACCGACGAAGGGUUUCUGACGGUAGAUGGAGAAGAAGCACCGGCUAACUACGUGCCAGCAGCCGCGGUAAUACGUAGGGUGCGAGCGUUGUCCGGAAUUACUGGGCGUAACGAGCUCGUAGGUGGUUUGUCGCGUCGUCUGUGAAAUUCCGGGGCUUAACUCCGGGCGUGCAGGCGAUACGGGCAUAACUUGAGUACUGUAGGGGAGACUGGAAUUCCUGGUGUAGCGGUGAAAUGCGCAGAUAUCAGGAGGAACACCGGUGGCGAAGGCGGGUCUCUGGGCAGUAACUGACGCUGAGGAGCGAAAGCAUGGGGAGCGAACAGGAUUAGAUACCCUGGUAGUCCAUGCCGUAAACGGUGGGCGCUAGGUGUGGGUUUCCUUCCACGGGAUCCGUGCCGUAGCUAACGCAUUAAGCGCCCCGCCUGGGGAGUACGGCCGCAAGGCUAAAACUCAAAGGAAUUGACGGGGGCCCGCACAAGCGGCGGAGCAUGUGGAUUAAUUCGAUGCAACGCGAAGAACCUUACCUGGGCUUGACAUAUACAGGAUCGCGCCAGAGAUGGUGUUUCCCUUGUGGCUUGUAUACAGGUGGUGCAUGGUUGUCGUCAGCUCGUGUCGUGAGAUGUUGGGUUAAGUCCCGCAACGAGCGCAACCCUUGUCUUAUGUUGCCAGCACGUUGUGGUGGGGACUCGUAAGAAACUGCCGGGGUUAACUCGGAGGAAGGUGGGGAUGACGUCAAAUCAUCAUGCCCCUUAUGUCCAGGGCUUCACACAUGCUACAAUGGUCGGUACAGUGGGUUGCCAGUCCGUGAGGGCGAGCUAAUCCCGCAAAGCCGGUCUCAGUUCGGAUCGGGGUCUGCAACUCGACCCCGUGAAGUCGGAGUCGCUAGUAAUCGCAGAUCAGCAACGCUGCGGUGAAUACGUUCCCGGGCCU
rnacentral:rRNA from 1 species